GUUUGCAAUCAUGGUUACACAAGCACACGUCAAGUGAAGUUGCAUCAGAGUUUUUCAAAUUUUCUUCCCAAAUUCGCAUAUGCACGAACCCUAACUUCAUCGUUUCAUAUUUCUCACUACAAUCAUGAAAGUGAAGAUCCUGCGUAUCCUUCUCAAAAUUCCAAUUCCAUUUUAUUACUAUUCAGUUCCUCUUUCAUGUUUUUUCUAACACUUUGUUUUAUCCUUUUCGCAUUUUACAUGUUUGUUCAUUUGCUUCACAGUGUUUAUGGUUUCAAAUUUUCAUGUUUUUACUCUCUCUCUAUUUUAUUGUCAAUAAUUGGGUAUUUGCAGAAAAAAAAUUUGUUUUUCUUGACUUAG